rnacentral:sRNA from 1 species
GGCGCUGGUGUGAGAGAGCUCUUUUGCCCCAGUGGCCUAACAGGUUCAACCCUCUUAUUACAUCAUAUCAUGUGAUCUUGGGAGAUGUAACCUUAGUGCACUAGAAUGUAGAAUGUAUCUUUGUAUUUUAAUUCUAAGUUGAGCUAGCUAAGAUAUGGUAUGUAAGAAGACUAGGGCAGUGUAGCAGGGCAAGGGAUAGCAGUACAAACAGAGUAAUGUACAUGUACAUACAUGUACAUGUACAAACAGAAUACAAGUAGCAUAAAUAUACAUGGUAAUCAUAAUAGCAAUCUCAAAGCUCAAAGCACACGAGAGACGCUUGCUCCACACUCAUUAUCACAAAAAAAACAGGUCAGCAUCCAGUGCGUCGGAGAUUUCCUCGCAGAAUGACCAUAUAACUGGUUGUGCCUUCAGACCCGCAAUGCAUCCCUAAGGGAACAAUCGUUUCCCGAUGCUUUGCGUAUACUAAACUCCCC